rnacentral:sRNA from 2 species
AGGUAGCACUCGUGCACUCCGGUUCCCGUGCGCCGUCCACGCCCACUUGGCGGUGACUGGCGAGGGUUUGUUCGCC